UCAGUGCAUGUGUGAUGUUAAUGCCCCCUAACAAUUGCACACAGCAUAUAUAACCUGAUGUGUCAAAUUCAAAAAAAAACAAAAAAAAAGGAAACAUCAUCUUGAACUUGGAAAAAGACAUGUAGAUAACAAAUAGACCUUUUAAAAAGGAACAUCUAUGGUUCCUUGGCAACAGUUAGUAUUGAUGCAGUAACCAAUCGAAGAGUCUUUCAAUUAAUGUUGUGAUUGAUUUUCUAUGUUCAAGUAUUUUCAAGCAUGCAAAGGCAAGUAUGAAAUUCUUUGUUUCAAACUCAUUGCUACUGUCCAAGAAGAUAAGUUCCUUGUUCUCCAAAUUCAGCUCUUGAUUCUUCCUUUCUAAAAGACUCGAGGUCAAAUUUUCUCCAACCAGGGGAGAAUAAUACAACAUUGGAAAGAAGACUAAAACUUAGGAAUUAUAUUCAUUAUAGAAUUAGGAAGUUUUGACUUUAUUUUUUAAGAAUUUUAUUAGGUUUUAAAACUUCCUAGUUUCUCUAGACAAUUUGUUUAUCUUUCUUCUUGAGAAUUUGUUUCUCUUGAUCCCUUGAUUUCUUCUUGUUCUACAUCAAGCAUACUUAAGGAAUGAGCACCAACCAGGCAGAUGAGCAAUAUGUGGACAGGAACAAGCUUGAUCUUGCAGUACCAAGAAGACCCUUCCCCAAUAUGCUGUAAGGCCUUUUCAAGAGGCCUUGACGAUGAACUAUUAAUGCAGGAAUCAAAUAUACAGGGAGAUAUACGGGAAGCGCUCUUUUGUAUGCUUGAAUAAAAAAAGACAUAACAUGUCCACUACAUGACUGAUUUCCAUGUAUGAUCGAGCAGGGGAUUUUCAUUUCUGGAUCUAGUUUAAUGUUAACACCUGUAGAGUUGUAAUAUUUCUCUAUUAAAUCCAAAUCUGUAAAAGGCAAGCCACUUGCUAUCUCCUUCAUUCCUUGCAAGAUAACAGGAUCCUUCCCUCCAUGUUUAUUGAGAAAGGAUUUAUAUGAGGGGGCCAAACUCUCUUGCUUCAAUAUGUAAGCUGACCUGGAAAAUGCAUGUUUCUACAUAAACUAUACUCUGGGGAAAGGGGUAUUUCAGCUCAUUAAAUAAUUAAAGGAUGAAGUAAUCAGUGCAUAAAUUUGAUUCAGGCUGUAAGUCCUGAUGCAGAUGAUAUAAAGCCCUGAUCAAGGCAUUUAUACAACAUUAAGAACAAUCAAGUAAAAAAAAUCAUGGAAUUCAUACUAAAAUAUUGUUGUGUGUGUGUAUAUAUAAAUACAAAUAGUUUUCCUUUUCACUUUUCUUUCUGUGCGACUGUCCCAAUGCAACAGCAUAUAUAAGGCUUUGAUGAAUGACUUGGUACAAACCACUAAGGGUACGACACUUUUUGAAAUUUAUGCCUCAUAAUCUUUUAUGCUGAAACAGAUAAUAACUACUAAGUUCUUAUUUAACCCAGCUGAAGUCUAAGCUAAAUAGUAAAUCCCCAACAAGGUGGCUUUUUAAGCCACUCACAUUGCAUGUUUAUCAAGUUCAUAAUCAAUCUCAUAUGUAGCCUACAGAUUUCUGGAAAUAUUUUUAUAAUUAUUAUUAUACCUUAUGGAUGUUCACAGGAUACAAUCAGAUAAUGGUGGCGACAGAUUUUACUUGCUGGGUGAUGAUUAAUAAAAUAAUGGAAGCCUUAGUUACACAUUCAUACUGCUUUAUCGUGGUUGAAUAGAGAAACAAUUUAUAAGAUAUCAGAUGUUUUGAAACCAUAAAAAGCAAUUGAUUAAAGUAAACAGGUUCAGCAAAGAGAGGGACAUACAAAAUUUGAGAAGAAGAAAGACACAUGAGGAAGAUGUCUCCAUGACUCCAAGUAAGAACUUUACAAUAUUUUCCAAACCGUUUGCUCUUAACCCCACAACGUGAUGCCAAAACAGCAGCACGCAUGAGUAUGUAUAAAGCCAAGCUUGUGUGCUGCGUGUUUGAUCCCGUAAGAAGCAUAGAGGGACCAGCAAUUAAUCCGGCCAAUAAAGCUCUCCAUUUGGCAGUCCUACGGUGGCCUCCCAAAGAAGCAAUCAUUUCAUCCACAGAAACAAAUGUACCAGCAAAGGUCCCAAGGAACAGACCGUAUCUUAAAGUUUCUUUAAGAGCUAAUGCAAUAGCUUCACUAUUCGAAAACACCUCAACUUUCCUCGAGGAAGAGGAUAAUCUGGUGCGGCGCAGCCUAGCGAUAAUUGAAAACAGGGAGAGACCUCCUUUAAGGCCGGCACCAAUUGAGAAUCCUUUAGCCCAAGCGGUAAUAACUCUCCAUAGCUUCUCCGAUUCCUUCAAUGGAAUCGGAUCAAACCCCAACGAAGAAGAAGAAGAAGAGCAUGAAGGAGGAUCCGAUCUCAUGCAUUGCACACAGCGAGGAUCAGCAAUGGAUCUGUCAUCAUCGCCAUGCAAGCCACCAUUCUCGCCGGAAAAGCAUGAUGAACAGGUAGCGGUUCCAGGCGGCGACGACAUAGAGAAGUAGGGUUGCUGAAGAAUACGCUAAGCGCAGAGAGAAAGAGGAAUCAUGGCGCAGAGAAAACUUGGUGGGAAUCAUUUUUGAAAGAAAGCGGAAGGCUUUGCGUUUAUCGAAAUGCGAGUGUAAGAGUAACACGUGUAAGAUAGUUUCUCUGCCAUCGUCUUCAUCUUUUGGAAUUUGGAACGUUGACGCGCGUUAAAUUCUGUCUGGAGUUACUACUAGUACUUUUCUG
rnacentral:misc_RNA from 1 species